rnacentral:rRNA from 1 species
GCGGCGAGUGAAGCGGCAAAAGCUCAAAUUUGAAAUCUGGCGCCUUCGGUGUCCGAGUUGUAAUUUGAAGAUUGUAACCUUGGGGUUGGCUCUUGUCUAUGUUUCUUGGAACAGGACGUCACAGAGGGUGAGAAUCCCGUGCGAUGAGAUGCCCAAUUCUAUGUAAGGUGCUUUCGAAGAGUCGAGUUGUUUGGGAAUGCAGCUCUAAGUGGGUGGUAAAUUCCAUCUAAAGCUAAAUAUUGGCGAGAGACCGAUAGCGAACAAGUACAGUGAUGGAAAGAUGAAAAGAACUUUGAAAAGAGAGUGAAAAAGUACGUGAAAUUGUUGAAAGGGAAGGGUUUGAGAUCAGACUCGAUAUUUUGUGAGCCUUGCCUUCGUGGCGGGGUGACCCGCAGCUUAUCGGGCCAGCAUCGGUUUGGGCGGUAGGAUAAUGGCGUAGGAAUGUGACUUUACUUCGGUGAAGUGUUAUAGCCUGCGUUGAUGCUGCCUGCCUAGACCGAGGACUGCGAUUUUAUCAAGGAUGCUGGCAUAAUGAUCCCAAACCGCCCGU